rnacentral:rRNA from 1 species
AUACGUAGGGGGCGAGCGUUGUCCGGAAUGAUUGGGCGUAAAGGGCGCGUAGGCGGCCCGGUAAGUCUGGAGUGAAAGUCCUGUUUUUAAGAUGGGAAUUGCUUUGGAUACUGUCGGGCUUGAGUGCAGGAGCGGUAAGUGGAAUUCCCAGUGUAGCGGUGAAAUGCGUAGAGAGUGGAAGGAACACCAGUGGGGAAGGCGAGUGACUGGACUGUAACAGACGCUGUGGCGCGAAAGUGUGGGGAGCAAACAGGAUUAGAUACCCUGGUAGUCCACACUGUAAACGAUGAAUGCGAGGUGUAGGGGGAUCGACCCCUUCUGUGCCGCAGUCAACACAAGAAGCAUGCCGCCUGGGGAGUACGGCCGCAAGGUUGAAACUCAAAUGAAUUGACGGGG